rfam:Cavia porcellus supercont2_163 genomic scaffold, whole genome shotgun sequence.
GCAGGCGCUUAUGCCGCUGAGCUAAAUCCCCAGCCCCCUUGCGCCUGAUCUCCUCUGAUCUCGUGAAGCUAAGCAGGGUCGGGCCUGGUUAGUACUUGGAUGGGAGACCCCUUGGGAGUUGGGGAGGUGAAUGUG